UCGGCCCGGUUGCCCCAGCUGCGCGGCCCAGUGACCUUGGCUGACCCCUCCCGCAGAACCAGGAGCUCAGACCCAGCUCAGUCAGAUAGAGGCCCAGUGUCCAGGUCUCGCCAGGUGCUGCAUACGCGGGGCGCCCUAAAGGCGGCAGCCGGACGCGCUCGGAGCCCCCAACUACCAAGACCGACCGCUCCCAUUGGCUCCCAGUGACGUCAGAGCCCGCCCCCCGCCCCCAGUUGGACACCAGCCCGAGGCACUGCGGCAGCUAGUCCCCCCUCAGCCUGUGCGUCUCCCCUCGUCCGUGACCUUGAGGAACCUCGGCCUGAAGGCCCUGUUAGCACCCCGCCCCAGACGUCCUCGCAGUGCCUUGGGGACCACGAAGUGGCUGCACGCACCUCCUAAGAAAGGAAGAGGCUGUCUGUGCAGGUCGCACUCCGGUACAGCCACCCAAACAAACAAGACGACCCCACAGGAGUUGCUUUCAGGAUGACAAAACGCUGCAUAUAUCACUCCAGACCUGACCCUGCGCCUGCUGGGACCUUGCCCACAUCUGGUAGGGAAGAAAUGGGAAAAUCUGUGUGCUUCUCCGAACUGUUGGCCCCAUUCCCUGGAGGCUGUGCAGUGGUUGUAGCUGAACAAGGCAGGUUCAGGUCCUGCUAGUCAAAUCCAGGCAUCUAUCAGAACUCUGCCACGUCUUUGCUGUGUGACCUUGGGCAAGUCAGUCAACCUCUCUGAGCCUCCACAUUGAUAAAUGGGAAAACAGCAGUGCCUACUGCACAGGUAGAUGCAAGGAUAACACAUAAUGCUCACAAACCUAUGAGGAAAGAUUAGGAAACCGAAGUGCAGAGAAGUUAAUUUUCCCACUCAGCUAGUAAGCAGUGGAGCUUGCUAGCACCUUAGCACUUUGGGCCUGAGUUCACAUUAAGAGUAGCAAAUGUGUAUUAGAAUAUCUGCCAUAUGUCAGGAUCUAUUUAAAUGCUUCCCACAUGUCACCUCAUUUUGUCUUCUUUAUAGAUGAGGAAAAUGAGGCACAGAGAGGUUCAGGAACCUUCUCAACGUCACACAGCCAGUGAGCAUAGAGCCACACCCAGGUAGUCUGGCUCUGACUCCAUGCUUUAGUAGCCACUAGUCACAGUCAGCCGAAGAUCUGAGUGCCAGGCCUGCGGGCACCAUCCCUGACCCUACAGAAACCUGGGAAGGUCCAAGGUGCCUGUCUCACUGUACAAACGAGGCAGUGAUAUGUGCUGGAGGUCACAUGGCCCAUAAGUGGCAGGGCUAGCACCUGGACCUCUUGUUUUUGUCCUU